GGGUUGUGAGGUUAAGCGACUAAGCGUACACGGUGGAUGCCCUGGCAGUCAGAGGCGAUGAAGGACGUGCUAAUCUGCGAUAAGCGUCGGUAAGGUGAUAUGAACCGUUAUAACCGGCGAUUUCCGAAUGGGGAAACCCAGUGUGUUUCGACACACUAUCAUUAACUGAAUCCAUAGGUUAAUGAGGCGAACCGGGGGAACUGAAACAUCUAAGUACCCCGAGGAAAAGAAAUCAACCGAGAUUCCCCCAGUAGCGGCGAGCGAACGGGGAGCAGCCCAGAGCCUGAAUCAGUGUGUGUGUUAGUGGAAGCGUCUGGAAAGGCGCGCGAUACAGGGUGACAGCCCCGUACACAAAAAUGCACAUGCUGUGAGCUCGAUGAGUAGGGCGGGACACGUGGUAUCCUGUCUGAAUAUGGGGGGACCAUCCUCCAAGGCUAAAUACUCCUGACUGACCGAUAGUGAACCAGUACCGUGAGGGAAAGGCGAAAAGAACCCCGGCGAGGGGAGUGAAAAAGAACCUGAAACCGUGUACGUACAAGCAGUGGGAGCACGCUUAGGCGUGUGACUGCGUACCUUUUGUAUAAUGGGUCAGCGACUUAUAUUCUGUAGCAAGGUUAACCGAAUAGGGGAGCCGAAGGGAAACCGAGUCUUAACUGGGCGUUAAGUUGCAGGGUAUAGACCCGAAACCCGGUGAUCUAGCCAUGGGCAGGUUGAAGGUUGGGUAACACUAACUGGAGGACCGAACCGACUAAUGUUGAAAAAUUAGCGGAUGACUUGUGGCUGGGGGUGAAAGGCCAAUCAAACCGGGAGAUAGCUGGUUCUCCCCGAAAGCUAUUUAGGUAGCGCCUCGUGAAUUCAUCUCCGGGGGUAGAGCACUGUUUCGGCAAGGGGGUCAUCCCGACUUACCAACCCGAUGCAAACUGCGAAUACCGGAGAAUGUUAUCACGGGAGACACACGGCGGGUGCUAACGUCCGUCGUGAAGAGGGAAACAACCCAGACCGCCAGCUAAGGUCCCAAAGUCAUGGUUAAGUGGGAAACGAUGUGGGAAGGCCCAGACAGCCAGGAUGUUGGCUUAGAAGCAGCCAUCAUUUAAAGAAAGCGUAAUAGCUCACUGGUCGAGUCGGCCUGCGCGGAAGAUGUAACGGGGCUAAACCAUGCACCGAAGCUGCGGCAGCGACGCUUAUGCGUUGUUGGGUAGGGGAGCGUUCUGUAAGCCUGUGAAGGUGUGCUGUGAGGCAUGCUGGAGGUAUCAGAAGUGCGAAUGCUGACAUAAGUAACGAUAAAGCGGGUGAAAAGCCCGCUCGCCGGAAGACCAAGGGUUCCUGUCCAACGUUAAUCGGGGCAGGGUGAGUCGACCCCUAAGGCGAGGCCGAAAGGCGUAGUCGAUGGGAAACAGGUUAAUAUUCCUGUACUUGGUGUUACUGCGAAGGGGGGACGGAGAAGGCUAUGUUGGCCGGGCGACGGUUGUCCCGGUUUAAGCGUGUAGGCUGGUUUUCCAGGCAAAUCCGGAAAAUCAAGGCUGAGGCGUGAUGACGAGGCACUACGGUGCUGAAGCAACAAAUGCCCUGCUUCCAGGAAAAGCCUCUAAGCAUCAGGUAACAUCAAAUCGUACCCCAAACCGACACAGGUGGUCAGGUAGAGAAUACCAAGGCGCUUGAGAGAACUCGGGUGAAGGAACUAGGCAAAAUGGUGCCGUAACUUCGGGAGAAGGCACGCUGAUAUGUAGGUGAAGUCCCUCGCGGAUGGAGCUGAAAUCAGUCGAAGAUACCAGCUGGCUGCAACUGUUUAUUAAAAACACAGCACUGUGCAAACACGAAAGUGGACGUAUACGGUGUGACGCCUGCCCGGUGCCGGAAGGUUAAUUGAUGGGGUCAGCGCAAGCGAAGCUCUUGAUCGAAGCCCCGGUAAACGGCGGCCGUAACUAUAACGGUCCUAAGGUAGCGAAAUUCCUUGUCGGGUAAGUUCCGACCUGCACGAAUGGCGUAAUGAUGGCCAGGCUGUCUCCACCCGAGACUCAGUGAAAUUGAACUCGCUGUGAAGAUGCAGUGUACCCGCGGCAAGACGGAAAGACCCCGUGAACCUUUACUAUAGCUUGACACUGAACAUUGAGCCUUGAUGUGUAGGAUAGGUGGGAGGCUUUGAAGUGUGGACGCCAGUCUGCAUGGAGCCGACCUUGAAAUACCACCCUUUAAUGUUUGAUGUUCUAACGUUGACCCCUAAUCGGGGUUGCGGACAGUGUCUGGUGGGUAGUUUGACUGGGGCGGUCUCCUCCUAAAGAGUAACGGAGGAGCACGAAGGUUGGCUAAUCCUGGUCGGACAUCAGGAGGUUAGUGCAAUGGCAUAAGCCAGCUUGACUGCGAGCGUGACGGCGCGAGCAGGUGCGAAAGCAGGUCAUAGUGAUCCGGUGGUUCUGAAUGGAAGGGCCAUCGCUCAACGGAUAAAAGGUACUCCGGGGAUAACAGGCUGAUACCGCCCAAGAGUUCAUAUCGACGGCGGUGUUUGGCACCUCGAUGUCGGCUCAUCACAUCCUGGGGCUGAAGUAGGUCCCAAGGGUAUGGCUGUUCGCCAUUUAAAGUGGUACGCGAGCUGGGUUUAGAACGUCGUGAGACAGUUCGGUCCCUAUCUGCCGUGGGCGCUGGAGAACUGAGGGGGGCUGCUCCUAGUACGAGAGGACCGGAGUGGACGCAUCACUGGUGUUCGGGUUGUCAUGCCAAUGGCACUGCCCGGUAGCUAAAUGCGGAAGAGAUAAGUGCUGAAAGCAUCUAAGCACGAAACUUGCCCCGAGAUGAGUUCUCCCUGACCCUUUAAGGGUCCUGAAGGAACGUUGAAGACGACGACGUUGAUAGGCCGGGUGUGUAAGCGCAGCGAUGCGUUGAGCUAACCGGUACUAAUGAACCGUGAGGCUUAACCUUACAACGCCGAAGGUGUUU
rnacentral:rRNA from 1 species